UGCCCACUGAUAUAUUAAUUAAAGGGCUGCAGUAAUUUGACUGUACAAAGGUAGCAUAAUCAUUAGUCAUUUAAUUGAUGACUUGUAUGAAAGAUUGGAUGAAAUAUAAUCUGUCUCUUAAUUAUGAUUAGAAUUUAAUUUUUUAAUUAAAAAGUUAAAAUAAAUUAAAAAGACGAGAAGACCCUAUAGAGUUUUAUAAAUAGAUUAAUUAAAAUUAUUAUUAAAGUAAAUAAAUUGAAAUUUAUUUAUUUAUUUUGUUGGGGUGAUAGAAAAAUAUAUAAAACUUUUUUUUAAAAAAAUUACAUAUAUAAGUGAAUAUUUGAUCCAGUAUUAUUGAUUAAAAGAAAAAAUUACCUUAGGGAUAACAGCGUAAUUUUUUUUUUUAGUUCGUAUAAAAAAAAGAGUUUGCGACCUCGAUGUUGGAUUAAGAUAAAAUUUAAAUGCAGAAGUUUAAAGUUUUUGA
rnacentral:rRNA from 1 species